GAGUGUUGUCCUUAUUCCUUACUCCUUUGUCCUUAUUCCUUACUCCUGUUGUCCUUAUUCCUUACUCCAGCAAGCCACAUGUCUCCUCUUUCAGGUGACAGGCAGGCGUCCAGAAGGCAGAUCUCACUGCGGGAAAGAGACGGGAGAUGUUUGCCUUCACUGAUUUGCCUGGCUAUCAAGCUCAGUUAUUACCACUGGGACCCAAAGCAAGGAGUGAUGGCAUGCUCUUCCAUGGCUUAAUGGUCCUCACACCAAACUCUCUCCAGUGAUGCGCUAUUAAAAGUGCAAGUCACGAAGCGAUCAGAGCGGGGACCACAAUGUGUACUAGAGCUGUGACAGUUCACACUUCAUAGUUAAACUGACAGCAGGACUAAGUAGAGGCUUCUUUUAUAAAAAGAAAAUGAAGAGUACAGGAUGGGCCAUUGUGAUGUAAUCUGAUUUAGGACUUUGAGACAUUGUGUGAGCCAUCCUCUGAGGCUGAUUUAGACUCUUUCAGCAAGUGUUCUUCUCUCUGAGCUCCAAAAUAGCCACUGAUCCAUCCUUCGGAAAAUACUGCUCUCAGGGGGGUCUGCUGAAGUGGUGUUGAGUUUCCAAACGGACAGAGAAACAGGCAAGUGUAUUCUU